GGGGGUACAGGAGGGCUGUGCAGCCGUCUCGAAAACCGUUGAAUGCGCAAGCAUUUCAAGGGUUCAAAUCCCUUACUCUCCGCCA
rnacentral:tRNA from 1 species